rnacentral:lncRNA from 1 species
UGGGAGCGGGGGACACGACGGCAAUUUUAACGUUUGUGCCCUACACCAGCAUCCUUCAAGAAUAGAAACAGUAUCAAUUAGACCUUUGACACUCUACUUUCAAAAGAGAAGUGCUGGAGAUAGGUUACUAGAGAAAGUGGCAAAAUUAUCAAGUGCGAAGAUUAUAUGGUUGGUGCGCUAUUUUCCCAAUCUUCUGAGAUUCUAAAAAGCGGGUGAGCUGCUAGGGCCUCGGAGUUUUGUGAUUACUCGUCGGUGCUUUUCUUUGGCGUUUUGCUCUCCUGUUGAGGAUUCUAAGAUCUUUUUUCACUAGAAGAAUAUUGGCAUGGAUACUGAAAACACUGUCCAGUAGAACGGCAGUUCCUCCUGUCUUUGUAAGUGAAGAACGGGAUGGGCCUGGUAAGACACGGGUUGUUGGCGGGCUCUCAACUGUGUGCGUCCAUAGCCCUUUGCUUCCCGAUUCAUGUGUUUCCUGUCCUGCAUUUUGAUGAAGAUAACGCCUUGGCUUAUUAGUGCAGAUGUCACAUGCUGAAAAUGCUUCUUCCUAGUUCUUGCGAAUAGAAAAGGGCGUGCACACAUGGGAAGACAUGGGAUUUUUGUCGACACUAGGUAGAGGUAUUCGACAGCGCUUUAUUUUACCACUGAGUUGUUACAGAUUCUUUACUUUCGUAGAAACAAAGAGUUAAAAUUAAUUCCACGGCUAGACAAUAUAAAGUCGACCGUUGGACUCUUGUGGAACAAAAUAGGGGGUUCAGCUGGCGAUGUUUGUCGGCAGUAUACCGAGCAAUGUGCAAUUGGGAGGAGGUUGUCAAUGAUGCGGAAGACAAUUCAGGAACGUCCUCGGCACACACGCACACUUGAGGAUCCCAACGGCGAGCCAACAAACCUUUCGCUGUCAGUAAUCCGUCUAAGUUUCAGUAAAUGCAAAGGUGCUUGUAUGUCUGUUUUGGUCAGUCUACUGUAGCCAUCGUCGUGACCGAUUAUACACUAUGCGUUGGGACAAAAGGGUGUCGAAGUCCUACUCAUAACAGCAUCGAACAGUUUUCCUUCGUUAUAAUGCGAGAAAUCACAAUAAUCCUUGUGAUGCGCCUUCACCAUAACUGAUGUGAAAUAA